UACAGAGGUCCCAAGCGUUGUUCGGAUUUACUGGGCGUAAAGGGUGCGUAGGCGGUCGGGUAAGUCUGGUGUGAAAGCUCAGAGCCUAACUCUGAAAUGGCACUGGAUACUAUCCGGCUAGAGGUUGGGAAGGGAGACUGGAAUUCUCGGUGUAGCAGUGAAAUGCGUAGAUAUCGAGAGGAACACCAGUGGCGAAGGCGAGUCUCUGGACCAAUCCUGACGCUGAGGCACGAAAGCCAGGGGAGCAAACGGG
rnacentral:rRNA from 1 species